rnacentral:sRNA from 1 species
GCUAUGACCUCUAUAAAUACGACAAAUCAGGCAAUAAAAUUUACACAUAUGCAGGUAGCACUUAUGUGGGAACAAUGUGUCGAACAGAUGGGACUAGCUGUGCAGUAGUAGAAGACGACAGAGGACCUGAUAUAUUAACAAUUGCACAUGAACUAGGACAUAGCCUUUCAGCCAAACACGACGGGGAUGGCAAUGACUGCUCUAAUUCUGACAGAUACAUUAUGAACAACGGCCUCAACAGGAAACAAACUCCGGAAACAAAAUUUAAUCCAUGGCGAUUCUCUACCUGUAGCGUCAAAUACUUUACAAAAUUUUUGACUGAGAAUCCUAGCAACAG